AACGCACAUUGCGCCCCCUGGUAUUCCGGGGGGCAUGCCUGUCCGAGCGUCAUUGCUGCCCAUCAAGCACGGCUUGUGUGUUGGGUCGUCGUCCCCCUCUCCGGGGGGGGACGGGCCCUAAAGGCAGCGGCGGCACCGCGUCCGAUCCUCGAGCGUAUGGGGCUUUGUCACCCGCUCUGUAGGCCCGGCCGGCGCUUGCCGAACGCAAAACAACCAUUCUUUCCAGGUUGACCUCGGAUCAGGUAGGGAUACCCGCUGAACUUAA
rnacentral:misc_RNA from 1 species